UUAUUUACAUGUGGAUGCGAGCUUUACGGCUGCCACGCUUUAACGCCCGUUUUCGAAGAAUACCCGGCAGCAUCUUCGUCGCACGGAAGGAGACCUCCAGCCUCCCUGAAAGCAGGAAACGAUCAGCGACGGGGCGACGCGGACGGAGGAAUCGUUACAAUAAAUGAAAGGGGCAGCGGUUUGACGAGCACGACCUUGAGCUGGUGAAAAAGCGAGGCACCGUGGUACGCGAACAAUGCCCGUGUUACAGAAACGGUCGUCGUAGUCCCUCUGUCGCUCCAGUUUGCUCUCCAGUCUGCUGAUGUGCUGUCUGCGGGCCUCGAGUUCUUCCUCCAGCCGCGCCGUCGCCUGUGCACUGGUCUCCUGGAGACGCUGCAGGCUCUGCUGUAACCUGGACACCUCCUCGACCAGCUGGCUGAUCUGGAACCAAAGAUGGUAAGACUCGAUGUCGACGUCGAAUUUUCACGUUCGUCGAAGGUGACGUCGGUUAUCCUCGACGAACUUCCACUUUUGCACACUCGAUCGCGAUCGUAUCGACGACGAGAGAAUCCUGGAUGCGGGGAAUCGAUGCAGGAACUCGAUAAUCGACUUGUCACGCACGCGGACGAUUUGGAAGUGAGCAGGGGCUAUUCGUGGGCCACGCUCGUCGUGGAACCUUUCCAUCCUUGCUGCAGGCGUCGAGGAGCACAGCAGAUAACCCCAGCUUCCCGCAACAGCCGAGGUGCCCAUUGGCGCCGAAGUUCUUCGAACCGAUAAGGGGCACAGGUUCGUUUCUUCGAUGGAACUCGUUCGGGAAUCGAUCUUGGACGAGAUGGAUUUCAAGACGUUUCCAGGGUCCGAGAUGGAAUUUGAGUCCAUUCGCUCGAAGCGAAGCUGCUGGCUACUGUGGGAAACGGAGGACUUCAGAUAAUAACGGUAGUGUUUUUUAUCGAAUCGUAUAUUACAGCGAUGUGACAUAAUUAGUAUUUUUUUUUAAGAAUUCUUGAGAAAAAGAAUCAUUUAGGAAUUAUAACUCUUUGGAAUUUUGGAUGAGAUAGUAGAAUCUAUAUUAAUCUCACGAGAUAAACAUUAUGAUCAGAUAUAAUACACAUAAUUGAUACAAUUUUUUAUUUCGAGAAAAUAGUAAUGAAAUCGAUUUAGUUUCUCGAAAGCUUCCCCAAUUAGAGCACAGAUGAAGUUACAUUUAAGAAAUCUAUCUUAAACGACUGGAGCUAUAAUUAUUUGGAAAUAACAUCUGAAUAAAUAAUACAUAUUCAUGAGGAAUUUAAUUUACUAAUUUUAAUUAGGGUCUCGAUUCAGGAGGCCUAAGAAAACGAUUCAUUUAUGGCUAGGCGUAGUAAUCGCGUCGCCCAUGAAACGAGCACGUCGUUUCUCGAAACUCCCAGCGCUAUGUUGCGGAGGGGUCACGGGUCAUUUAUUACUUCUAUUCGAAAACGCGCACAAACACCAUCGGAGGAAGCUGACUGAUAAAGAUUCCUCCUCCGUGGGUGGGAGUUGCGCGCGGGAAACCAGCGGAGA